rnacentral:rRNA from 1 species
UCGGCAACGGAUAUCUCGGCUCUCGCAUCGAUGAAGAACGUAGCAAAAUGCGAUACUUGGUGUGAAUUGCAGAAUCCCGUGAACCAUCGAGUCUUUGAACGCAAGUUGCGCCCGAAGCCUUACGGUUGAGGGCACGCCUGCCUGGGUGUCACACAACGUCG